rnacentral:rRNA from 1 species
AUAUGGAAAAGCAAAUGUAGGCAUGAGUAACGAUAAUGCGGGAGAGUAACCCGCACACCGCAAGACCAAGGUUUCCUGAUCAACGCUAAUCGGAUCAGGGUUAGUCGGGUCCUAAGGGUAAGCCGAACGGCGAUCUCGAUGGAUAAUCGGUUAAUAUUCCGAUACUGACAUGAGCCUCGAUGGAGAGACGAAGGAACGUAAGUGACGCCAUCUGACGGAAUAGGUGGUUAAAGGGCGUAGGUAUAGGGAUUGAUUAAGAGUUGAUCCUUGCUGAGACCCGACAGUACGGAGCGGCUACGGCCAAUCCGAUAGUUCACCCAAGUAUACUUCCGAGAAAAUCUUCUAAGUUAUAGUAUAUGUUACCCGUACCGUAAACCGACACAGGUGGUCGAGGAGAGUAUCCUAAGGUGCUCGAGUGAAUCACGGUUAAGGAACUAGGCAAAUUAACCCCGUAACUUCGGGAAAAGGGGUCCCUAUGAAAGUAGGGCGCAGCGAAGAGGUCCAGGCGACUGUUUAUCAAAAACACAGGGCUCUGCAAAUUCGAAAGAAGACGUAUAGGGCCUGACACCUGCCCGGUGCUGGAAGGUUAAGAGGGGAUGUCAUCGCAAGAGAAGCAUUGAAUCGAAGCCCCAGUAAACGGCGGCCGUAACUAUAACGGUCCUAAGGUAGCGAAAUUCCUUGUCGGGUAAGUUCCGACCUGCACGAAUGGUGUAAUGAUCUGGACACUGUCUCAACCGUGAGCUCAGUGAAAUUGUAGUAUCGGUGAAGAUGCCGAUUACCCGCGAUGGGACGAAAAGACCCCGUGAACCUUUACUAUAGCUUAACAUUGAAUUUGGGUAAUUGAUGUGUAGGAUAGGCCGGAGGCUUUGAAGCAGGUACGCCAGUAUUUGUGGAGCCGCUGUUGAAAUACGGCCCUUUGAUUAUUUGAGUUCUAACUCGCCGUUGCGAGGACACUGUUUGGUGGGUAGUUUGACUGGGGUGGUCGCCUCCAAAAGCGUAACGGAGGCUUCUAAAGGUGCCCUCACGACGAUUGGUAACCGUCGGCAGAGUGUAAUGGCAUAAGGGCGCUUGACUGGGAGACAGACAAGUCGAUCAGGUAGGAAACUAGAGCAUAGUGAUCCGGUGUUUCCGUAUGGAAGGGACAUCGCUCAAAGGAUAAAAGGUACUCCGGGGAUAACAGGCUGAUCCCUCCCAAGAGCUCAUAUCGACGGAGUGGUUUGGCACCUCGAUGUCGGCUCGUCACAUCCUGGGGCUGGAGAAGGUCCCAAGGGUUCGGCUGUUCGCCGAUUAAAGUGGC